UUCAUAUUUUUUCUUUGCUUCAAAAUACAAAAGACAGUCAAUGGCUUUUUACUCCUGUAUCUUUCUUUCCUUCUUUAAAACGGGGCAGUACAAAGAGUUAGGGGAAUAUUUCACUCCAAAGUUGUUACAUAACCCCAAAAUGCUACACUGGACGGUGAUGUGCAUUAGGCUGUAUGAUAAAGUUCAUAACUUAAAAUACUGUAACUCAUUCAGAAAACCCACAAAAUAGGUUUACUGUCAAUACAACUUUAGCAUCUAAUGAAGUCUGAUGUAAGUUUACUGCAGUAUAUAGUGAGUGAAUUAACAUACCUUAGGAGUGUGCUAUCGUCUAGCAGGAUUUAUGCCAAGGGAACGGGGAUAAAAGUCUGCCACAGUGUGCUACCACCUGGUGGCACUGACAUAAACUUCUAGUUGAGUGACUGUGCACAUCACGACCCAUGCACUUUGUUUAUGAAAUCCAUAUGUAUUUGGCUAUAAGGCAACUACAUCAUGCGAGUUGCGCAUGCACAGAAGCUCCUCAAAAUGUGCACAACUGUUGGUAUGCCCACGACUCUGAUGCCAAGUUUCAUGGUAUCUAGAGGAGUAGUAGCACAAUAGAUUUAAGUGCCAUGUCUUUCAGAUUGCAGCAUCUAUGUUACGUUUAACAACAUUUAAAAAGAGAAAUAAUCAAUAAAUCUGCAAGGUGUCAAAAGUUAGGUUGUUCAUGUGCUCUUACACAGCAGCUGCCACUGUCCCUGGGUCUGUUCCACAUGUACGAUCUUCUUUCAUGAUUGAACUGAAUGUCCGCAGUAAUUAAAUUUUGCUCUGAGCAAAAUUCUACCAGUUUGCUUCUCAUUUCAUUCCUUUCCCCUAGUCUUAUAACAUCCUACUGUUUUUUCCAUUAUUUCUUUAAGUAUUUUCAAAUCCCAGUCCCCUUUCACAAUUAAUUUUUCACCUCUCUUAACUAUUACAAUAAUUUAUUUUAUAUCAUCAUACAGUUGUUCAAUCACUUCAUCACUUGCAGAGCUAACAGACACAUAUGCUGGUACUACUUUGAUGAGUCUUGGCUUUGUGUUUUUCUUGGCUAUGAUGAUGGUUCAAAUGGCUCUGAGCACUAUGGGACUUAACUGCUGAGGUCAUCAGUCCCCUAGAACUUAGUACUACUUAAACCUAACUAACCUAAGGAUAUCACACACAUCCAAUCCGAGGCAGGAUUCGAACCAUCGACCGUAGUGGUCGCGCGGUUCCAGACUGUAGCACCUAGAACCGCUCGGCCACUCCGGCCGGCGCUACUAUGCUGUUCAUAAUAGUUUACUUGCAUAUCUUUGAUAUUCAUUAUUAAUUUUGUUUCUGUGACUACCGCAUUUGAUUUUGAGUUGAUAAUUCUGUACUUACCUGACAAGAAAUCCAGUUUUCUGCCACCUCUCUUUACUAAUUCCCACUAUAUUUAACAUCAACUUACCCAUUUCUCCUUUUUUAGUCCUCAUUAUUAAGAGACCAGUCAUUCCAUGCCCUGAUCUGUAGAAUACCAGCUCUCUUUUUUUAACGUCAUUUUCCUCCUGAGCAGUCCAGGCCAAGAUGUUACGGUGCAGGUAUGGCAAAUCUGUAGCACAAGGUUGAACAUUAAGGAAUGUACCCUAGUUGGUGGAUACAGGCUCCAGAGUUCUGGAGCACUCCUGAUAACACCAUGACAAGGGUGUGGCAUAGGGAGAUGCAAGUCAAACCUAAACAAGUGGAUAUAUGGAUUAAGAUGAUUUCUGUGAAUGCAUAGAAACUCUGAGCAUGUAGUACUUGUAUUAGUACAAUCUCUGCCCAUCAACUUGACUUCAGAGUACCUAAUACUGUGUCACAGCAGUUCCAAUAACAUUGCCUUUUACCAGACAAUCACACUUAAACUUGGAUAUAGUCCUUGGAGUCUUUUGUGGCAAAGUAUGUGAAUAAACUCUUCUCAGUAGUGAAGCUGUAUCAUUUCAGAUUUCUUAGUUGAACAGUCUUUUUGUUGUGUUUAUCUGCGACUCAGCACUCCACUAUAUGGUGAGUAGCAAAUGUCCUUUUUGUAAUAUUGUUAUUAUUCCAUCCAGGAUUUUCCAUUGUUUCAUUUAAGAUAGUGAUGGGCUAAACUGCGAUUUUCCGAUAUCAGUGAUUUCUGUGAAUGCUACUUUUCAGUAUCUGUUAUUCUUAACUGUGAUUUGUCGCAGUUAAGAAUCGCAGUUAAGGAACAUAGGUCGUGUAUUCCUCCGCCACUGCUAUUUCUGCGACUUCUGCGAUUUCUGUGACUUCUGCUACUUCUGCGAUUUCUGUGACUCCUGCGAUUUCUGCGACUUACCACCGUGUGAAAGUGUUACAUCUGUCCACACAGAAAAUUGCAUCUCAACAAACCUGUCAUUGGUACCUGAACUACAUUUCAGUCACUCAGUAAAGUGAUAACUCAAAAUAUCAUUGUCAACAGAUCUGAAGAAAUUGCCACGGCGUCUUUAGACCGUUUUCGUCAGACGAGAGACGCAGUUCUGACUCUGAUUACUGGUUGCUGUACGUAUCUAUCCACAUCAAGGCUGUUGAGAGAGACUCGUGAAGAUUCAAGACAGCUCUUAGAGGAUUUGCAGUUUAAAAGUGAAAUAAUUGUGAAAUAAGUGUGUGAGUGAUU